rnacentral:tRNA from 1 species
AGUAAAGUCAGCCAAAAAAGCUUUCGGGUUUAUACCCCGAAUAUGUUGGUUAAACCCCCUCCUUUACUA